rnacentral:tRNA from 1 species
UGGGCUGGGGCUCAGUGGUAGAGCGCCCGCCUCGCGUGUGUGAGGCCCUGGGUCCGAUCCUCAGCAGCACAU